rnacentral:rRNA from 1 species
GGUGACGUAACGGCUCACCAAGGCCACGAUAAGUAUUCAACCUGACAUGGUGAUCCGCCAUUAC